ACGCAGAGAAUACUUUAAGAUGGAAAAAAAUUCUCCGGAAACGUGUCAGUUUUGUAAGAUGCUGGUCACCUUAAUAUUUCUCCAAGCUGUCCAGACCUCAGUACUAGAUAAACAGCGAGGGACAUUCAGAAAUUCAUCACAAGCACCUGAAGAAAUCAUAAAAUGAGGGUGACGACCUCUGCCUGUGCAAACAAGUGAUGUGUAAUCUUUCCAUUGACCAAAGAAUGAAAUUCUUUAAAACAGCCUCAGAGUGAUUAGAGCAAGCAAUGUCAGAACUCUCAAACCUGUGUGUUUUUGUGUCACAUUAAUAUAGUCUUUUAAAAUAAAAUGUUGGUGUUGAUAUAA